AUGGUCAAAGCCAUGUUCCUGCCAGCCUCAGGAGCUGCGUGUGGCCGGAGCAGGAUGGGGCCCGGGACAGGUCCAGAUGUGGGACUCGCCCAGUGCAGCGGCUCCGAGCUCCCGCACCCCCCUCUAGCGGCAAAUCCUAGAGGGUUUUGCCGCUGGGACAGGGGGCACAAGGGGACCCCUCGCCCUGAUCACCCCCACGUUGGGAUCCCUGGCCCCAGCCGGGUUAGGGACCACGUUACACGUGCCAGGAGGCUUCUGCCUGGCACAGGGCGGGCAGCGGGUGUCCCCGCACUGCUCCACGCCCCCCAACACCCGAUGAGGAGUCCGGGGAGAUGGCGGUGCUGGGCUCCUGCCGCAUGCUGGUGGGCAGCGAGGGGAGCGCAGCGCUGCACCCACACCCUGCCACCCCGACGGGGGCUCGCGGGGGGCUCCUUGCCCUCCGUGCCCCCGUCAGCAUCGUGCAGGGGCGCGAGGGCUGCAGCACGCAGGUGCUGCCAGGUGCAGAGCUGCAAAUCCCCGGGCCGGGAAUCGGCGCGGCAUCGCUCCCGGAAAUCCAGCCGGGGUCCACCCACUGCUUGUAGAGGAAAGUGCGGUGAAUCACCCGUGCGGGGAAGGAAAACGCAGCGAGCGUGGGCCUUCGGGGCCUCCCCGGGCAGGCCUGCUGCAGGAGGGGGGCAUGGAGGGAGCAGCCCCGGGGGGGUGGCCGAGCCCGUCCCAGCCGGCAGCAGCGCUCUGCUCCCCGCAGGGCAGCCCCACAGGCUGUUUGCCAGGCAGACAUCCCAGCCAGUGGCACUUGGAGAGAAACGUUUUUCUCUGGAAAAGAAAUGGUUCUGGGUCUGGGUUUGGUAUAACACGGACUGGGCUGCUGCGGCUGCCCAACGCGGGGGUGCAAAGCCCUUGGGAUGGCCUGCGGUGCUCCCCCUGGUCUGCCAGGGUCCUCUGAUAUCCCUCAACCCCGUGGGCUGUCUCUGGUACCCCACGGUGCAACGAACAGCAGGUGAGAAGAGAUCUGUGUGUCCACAAAGAGCCGUGCUAUCUUCCAGCCACAUCAGACUCUCAGGACAGACACCUCCUUACAGCAAGCGCUUGGCGCUGUGCCCGAGGGCUGCAGCAAGGGCAGGCGGUGCUGGGCUCGGACAGCAGCCGGGGGGCACUAGGGAUGGGGUCUGGGCUCCUUGGGACCCGCCGGUGAUGGGAAGGGCAGAUUGCAGGCACCUGCUGCCAGCUGAUAAAGGACGCUGCAGGCAGCCCCCCCCCCGCUGCUGUGCCCACGGAGAGCUGCCUCCCUCCCCGUGCUGUGCCCUGGGCUCCUCAGAAACCCUCCAGGAGCAGCAGGCUCCAUAACUACACGUGGAUGGAGGAGUGUUUGCCAGAAAGCAGGAAGCUGAAGAGAGGAAAUGUACAUGCUGAGAGGCAGCGUGUGAAGGUCUUCCAGGAACCAACAGACUCCAGUGCCUGGGGUCCUGCUGAACCCACAAGGACCGAUGAGUUAGGACAUGGUCAGACGGAUCUGCAUGAGGCACGCAUGCCAUCAACAAUGGUCAUAUAACUUGGGCCACAUCCAAGGUGUGAGCGGCUCUUGUACACAGACAAGGAUUACAGGAUUACACAUGCAUCUGCAGAAGCAAAUGGGCUUUCUGGAUGUUGACCCAGAAGCCAAUGGUAAUUCGGUACGACCCGCUAUAUCUGAGAAAACCCCUGUGGUCAGCUCUCCCCUGGAUAAAAAUGAGUGACUGCAUAUGCGAACCAUAAAAAUAAUUGAAUUUACUGUCUGAGUAGUUACCUGUUACUAAUUUAUUAUAGCAGCUUAAUAAAAGGUAUGCUAACAGAUAUUGAUUGAUCUGC
rnacentral:lncRNA from 1 species